rnacentral:rRNA from 1 species
GUUAAAAAGCUCGUAGUUGGAUCUUGGAAUGUGUUCAAGCGGGUUAGCUUCUGGCUGUGCGCUGCUUGACGUGUUCUUCUAUUUGGUUUUGGUGCGGUGCGCUUAACUGCGUGUCGCUCCCGGCCGAAACGUUUACCUUGAAAAAAUUAGAGUGUUCAAAGCAGACCUGUUUGAGUCUGGAUAUUCGUGCAUGGAAUAAUGAAAUAUGAAUUCGGUUCUAUUUUGUUGGUUUUCGGAACUCGAGUUAAUGAUCAAGAGGGACAGACGGGGGCAUUCGUACUCUGCCGUUAGAGGUGAAAUUCUUGGAUCGGCGGAAGACGCGCAACUGCGAAAGCAUUUGCCAAGAAUGUUUUCUUUAAUCAAGAACGAUAGUCGGAGGUUCGAAGACGAUCAGAUACCGUCCUAGUUUCGACUGUAAACUAUGCCAGCUAACGAUCAGACAGAGUUCUCUACGACUUGUCUGGCAGUUUCCGGGAAACCAAAGCGUUUGGGUUCCGGGGGAAGUAUGGUUGCAAAGCUGAAACUUAAAGGAAUUGACGGAAGGGCACCACCAGGAGUGGAGCCUGCGGCUUAAUUUGACUCAACAC